CCUACGGGAGGCAGCAGUGGGGGAUAUUGGACAAUGGGGGGGAACCCUGAUCCAGCGACGCCGCGUGAGUGAAGAAGUAUUUCGGUAUGUAAAGCUCUGUCAGCAGGGAAGAAAGCAAUGACUGUACCUGACCAAGAAGCCCCGGCUAACUACGUGCCAGCAGCCGCGGGAAUACGUAGGGGCCAAGCGUUAUCCGGAAUUACUGGGUGUAAAGGGAGCGUAGACGGUUGGGUAAGUCUGGAGUGAAAGGCGGGGGCCCAACCCCCGGACUGCUCUGGAGACUGUAUGGCUGGAGUGCAGGAGAGGUAAGCGGAAUUCGUGGUGUAGCGGUGAAAUGCGUAGAUAUUAGGAGGAACACCAGUGGCGAAGGCGGCUUACUGGACUGUAACUGACGUUGAGGCUCGAAAGCGUGGGGAGCAAACAGGAUUAGAUACCCUUGUAGUC
rnacentral:rRNA from 1 species